ACCGAAAUACCUCAGUUGGGAGAGCGUUAGACUAUAGAUCGAAAGGUCCCUGUUCGAUCCCCCAAUUUUUUUUU
rnacentral:tRNA from 1 species